rnacentral:rRNA from 1 species
AGUCGGACGGACUAAUUGGGGCUUGCUACAAUUAGUUAGUGGCAGACGGGUGAGUAACACGUGGGAAUCUGCCCAUCAGUACGGAAUAACUUUUAGAAAUAAAAGCUAAUACCGUAUAUUCUCUACAGAGGAAAGAUUUAUC